GCUGUGUGUUCAGAGACCGGCUGAUUGACAUGAUUCAUAUUCACGUUACCAAAACAUUUUAAUGUACAAUUAAUGUAGAUACGUUACGUCAACACAAAGAUACCCCACUUGUACGAGGGCUUAUUUUAGUCGACGCAAGGAGGAGUCACCUUGAGCCAAUGCAUCUCUAGAGGGAAAGGAGCCCAGUUAGCCUCUUCCCCCCCUGACAGGACUGCGUGCUUCAGGUGACCUACCCAUCAUCCAGUGUAGCAGCCACAGACCUGCAGUUUGCCAUCUACUGCGUGGUGUACUGUGUGACUGCCACUCCAGCACACAACCACGCCGCUGAGCUGCGCGUCGCAAACUCAGACCCGCGCGUCUGUGCAAAUGCACGUCGCUGUACUGGGAACAGUACAGGGAGAAGCCUGUGUUGUGUAGGACAGCAUAGGAAGGCGCCGUUCUGCCAGGAACGCCUCACUGGGAAUGACGAAGCACUGAUGGGACAGCAGUAGGCAGCAUGCUGCAGAGAAAGGCUCACUUCCAGAAUCAAUGGUCCAUGCCGCCCAUACUUAUCUGCACUUAUGUUGUCUCACAGUCCAGCGGUAAAAUUGUAGCUGUUUCAAUAUAUUUACUAUUUCUUGUAUGCUGCAUAUAAGUGGAACGUUCAUACCCAUGUUGUCAGGGUAAAUCAGGGUAAAAUUGAUAUGUAUCAAGGGACCGUACACUUUAUACUUUCUGAACUCAUUUCAAAGUCAAAAGCAUGCAAAACUGUUUUGCAGGGGCUGACAUGAAGUUACAUAUUAACUGUGUGUGUGUGUGUGGGGGGGGGUGUAUUGCACAGCUGAUAUGAUUUUAACACCCUCUCAUACUUAAAGGCGGCGUCUGAGAGAGAAGUGGCAGCAUCUGUGGUGUCACAUUUGCUUUUGCUUCGGGUCUCCUCAGUUGAGAAAACUGGAUGGUUUACCUGUCGCCCUCCUAAUUCCACACAGCCUCCCGGGAGCGUCCGCGCUCCAGACUUUUUGUUUUUGUUUUCCCAUUUGAACCUGUGCCAAGUGAGACGGGGCCAGCGGAAGCGGCAGCAUUCUUGCCUCGACUCCCAUUUCUCUGCUACCGCUGCUGCAGCUUCUGUUAGUAUCGCUUGCUCUCUCAUUCAGUCUCUUACUAUCGCUUUCAUUUUCAUUCUCCUCCGUCUUCACUUUCAGAUCAAGCAAACCCCCGAUCGCCCCCCCCCCCCCUCACCCACUCCUGCGCAAUAUAUGCAACUUUGGAUUGCAAAACAGGUAGAAAAAUGAGACUUUCUGUACACGGGCGUCUCAUUAGAAAUAUAUAUUCAAGUCAUUCCAAGCACAGCUUUCAAAUUUUACAUACGAAGGAGAGAAAGAGGGAGAGAGACAGACAGAAAGAGAGAGGAAAGAUUAAUGUAAAUCUCAAAACAAGGAAGGCAUUAAUAUUUCAUUAGUGCCUCUUUUUUCUCCGUGAGUGACAGAGGAGAGGAGAUAGUGGCUGAUUUAAUGAUUUUAGAGUCUCUUUCUUUCAUUCUUUCUCUCCCCUCGCUACCCCGGUGUCGCUGCUUCCCCCCAUCUUCCCAGUCAGCAGAUGGGCUUAGCCUCAUUUUUUUUUUUUUUUUUUUAUGAAUUCCUCACAGACCCAGCUGCACAUAAUUACAGUCAAUUCUGCCUUAUCUCUCAAAUUAAAAAGAUUAGAUUAUUUGUGAAAGAAAUGUAUGCAGCUCAUCUCAACUGAUAGUGGGCACUAGUUUACAUAGACAGGUUAUAUAUAUUAUACUGUACCUUCUCCUCAAACCCUUGCUCACAUGCUUUAACCCAUAGUGCGUAGAUAUCGCCUUACUUUAUUUCAAUCUAGAUACUACGUUAAUGUACAUGAUUAUCUUGAAUAAAUUGUCUGUUUAGAAAUACUAUCGCUCGUGUUUUGCCUUUUUUCCAGGAACCCUCUGUGGUAACCAACUUUGAACCUUUGUGGGACUGAUUCCAUAUCAGUAUUGCAGACUGCCUCUUGCUCUGCUCUGAUAAGAUAUAUCAACGAGUUUUGAUACACUGUUCAGCAGCUGUAGCGUUCUCGUACGACAUGGAGUGCAUUUUGUGGGUGUCAAUUUUGUGGAAGCAAAACACUAGUCAGGCACAACAUAUCUGAUUACUUCAUUUAAAAGUUAGGGAACUAAGAUACGAGUAAACGUUUAAAUGAGCUUUUAAUAAAAAAGGAAAUAGAUAGUCUGUGUUGCCAAACAAUACAUCAAUUUGUGUGUAUCCUCUACAGUAAUGUUGUUUGAUUAGUCUGCUCUGGCGUCCAGUCGUUGCUGAGAGGCAAUGCAAUAUAAUCCAGAUUUCACCUCCAGCCACCCUGGGGAUUAGUUUACUUCCCAUAACCCCCAGUUUUACCAGUUGAUUGGCUGAUUGGGAGUACAAUUCAUUCCAGGUCAUGUACUUUAUUCGGCACCGCA